rnacentral:rRNA from 1 species
CGAGCGCCUCCCUUGUAAAAAAAUGCCAGCAUGUAUUGACGGGAACUCAAACGGAGACUGCCGGUGCAAACCGCGAGGAGGGUGGGGAUGACGUCAAAUCAUCACGGCCCUUACGUCCUGGGCUACACACGUGCUACAAUGGCCGGUACAGAGGGCAGCCACACCGCAAGGUGGAGCGUAUCCUUGAAACCGGGCUCAGUUCGGAUCGGGGUCUGCAACUCGACCCCGUGAAUCUGGAAUCGCUAGUAAUCGGAUAUCCGCCAUGAUCCGGUGAAUACGUUCCAGGGCCUUGUACACUUUCCCAUAAA